GGGGAUAUAGCUCAGCAGCAUAAGCAUCUGCCUGGCAAGUGCAAGAUCCGAAGUUCAAUUCCUAGUAUCCCUG
rnacentral:tRNA from 1 species